rnacentral:lncRNA from 1 species
CCUAUGUCAUUGUGAUUUCCUUUGGACAUCCAAACUAGCCAUCCUUGAAACAUGAAUCAAUAUAUGUCUCCCCUGUGUUGGUUGCCUGCCGUUUCCUUAAUUAUGUGUAAAUAAUUAGUUUGGUUGUUGAUUUAUUAGUACAGCCUAUCAGGUUUUCUUUGGAAAGUUAGACAACAAAGUGGGGUGUAAAAAAUAAUAAAGCUCAGACACGCAACUGUAAAGUACCUUACCCCACCCCACGGCUGUCACCUCCCCGUUGUCCAUCCCUUCCCAACUCUCCUCCUCCACUAGCUCUCGACGUAGGAAGCUCGCGACCCAGGCGCGAUCUUACCGGUGCUCCUUACCCAUCUCGAUGUUUAUCAGGCUAUCCUCUUGAGGCAGAGACGUGGCCGGCGGCGGUGCGGCAGAGCUAUCAGGCGCAAGAUGCCCCCGACAAAUCAGAGGUAAGAGAAACAUGUAUCCUUGUCGGUCUUGUACUGGAUCUGAAAUUCCUACAUUGUUAUCCAUCUAAAAUUUCCUCUAUUGUCAAAUAUACUAACAACAUAUACUUAUGUUAAGAAAUAUCUCUUAUUCGUUUCAUUAAUUCGAUCCCCAACCCAAUACCAUUCCUGUCGUGAGUGAUUUUAUCUUUUUCCCACAGUAAAACGUCCACUGGCUAUUAAUAAUUUCCUUUUCAGAAAAGACCACUUGCAAUUUUUGUAUCUUGUUCAUGUAGGAGCAAAGUAGAAAUUAUACUUGUGGCGUGUUCAUCAUAGUGUGCGUAUCCGUCAGUCACCCUGCCUAAGCCAGCUACUAUGUAGUGCACACUUUUACGAGAUAUGUUGGGUUACUGAAUUUUUCUUACGAAAUCAUUUCCAGGAAUUCUAUUAUUACUCACACAUUUUGCGUGGAACCAAUUUGGAAUAUGCAUGACGACAUGCUAAUUGCAUCAUAAAAAUAAAGAUUCUAACCUUAAGAAAUAUAUCGCAACAUAUAUUAGACAAGCUCGCCGUGCCCUAAACUUGUGGAUAGAUUGCAACAUAUAUGAGACAAGAUCGCCAAACCAAAUUGUUCAUGCUUGAAUUAACAAAAUAUUACAGUCCAUGAAUAUGAAGUCUAACGGACUGUCCGGUUGCUUAGACCUUGCAGAUUGACACGACUCAUGCAUAUAAGAGUUCAAACUGCGUCUUUGAUGCUUGGCCAGAAUACCACAUGAAAUUUCUAGAGCAUCAGCCAUCAUGCUUACUCCUUUUUCCUAACGAGUCAUUUUCUGUAUCUCUCAGGCAUGUGUCCAAUGUUCCACUCCAGUCCAAGUACAUAUACCAAUAUGUUCAUCCUGGAAUGAAGAACUCCGUCGUUUUGCUGUUAAAAAUUGAAAUAUCAUGCAUUAGCACAUAUAUGUAGAAUUGCACUAGCGGCAAUUAAAAUGGUAUAAGUCAGCGACUUACGAACCGGGUUUGAGACCCUCUUGAAUUUACUUCCCAUCCAAUUGCGCCGGUAGUGUAGCGCAUAUACCCCGUUGUCUGGCCUAAAAAAGCCAGAUAGAAUGUAAACACACGGAUCUAGGUACUCACGCUACAUCAAUGCUAGAACGUUUUUGGCUGUUGAAAUUACCCGGUGCAUAGGCCAACAUUUAGCCCUUUCGGGAAUACUGUAUUCCAUCUUGCCAUGUCGGGAGCCCAACCUUGAAGAAUGCUUGAAUACAACUUUGCAAUGCAACAUGAAGGCUCUCUGCAACUUUCCGGUGCCUGCUCUGGAUGACUUUGUCAGACUCAUCCCCGUUGUUCAUUGUUGGGUCAAGGACAAUUAUCCUCUUUUUUGGAAAAUCCGAUAUGUAGGUCGACCAUGUGAAGUUGAACUUCACACGGAGUAUGAACUAGAAAAGCAAUCAAUAGUAAGUGUGCAUUCAGAUAACACUUCUCAUACUCUAGAAUCGAUCUGGGAAUCAGGAUGCUCGAACUGGUCUUCCUCCUCUUCCUCUAGCUCAGUGGCGGAGCCACCGCCCAGCUACCCUGGGCAGUUGCCCAGGCUCAGCUUGCAAUCUCUUUCUUAAAAUAAUGGCAAGGAUGAAGAAAAUUCAGCUUUUUCAUGAGCAAAUCACAAAAUAGCUGCCGGCCAUUAGGAACCUUCAUAUGCUGCUCAGGCUAUCACAUUGAGCUGGCUCCGCCACUGCUCUAGCUCACUCAGAUCUGGUACGCCUUCUGUUCGGACACGUUGGGAACAGAAGCUGCACAUGAAGAUGGCAACAUCCCAAAUUUGAUGAAUCAACAUCGGAGAAAACGUAAGAAAUAACAAGAGGAUUUUGUGAUAGAGAAACCUGAACAGGUGAUCGGUGAAUGACUCCUCGUCGAGAUUCAUAGGUGAAUUGUGAAGAAACCUUGAGAUCCACGAGCGGGGACGGGGAGGGCUUGGUUCCUCCGCUCGAUGCAGCAACGCCUCGUGAGGGUAUUUGAAUUUUGAAUCGCGUCCGGCUUGGUGGAUGGGGCAGCAUGGUCACGAGGUAGUGAACGGGCGAGGUAGGCCAGGUACAAGCUAUGGAGGAGCAUAGGUAGUACACCAGAUACGAUGGGACUAAAUUUGUCCCGUAUGUGCUUGGGAAACUGAAAUAAGAAUCGGGUGGGUCCAAGUGGGAUAGCCUCGCGCUGAUCCACAAGCCAAAGCGACGGCGCCGAUUCCCGUUGCGCGCGUAACAAGUUAGAGAAAGCCAUAUUCGAAGCGGCUUCAACAGACCGCCCGUGCUUGCAUCCCACGCAAUCCUUCACCCACCAUUGAGGCGUACAAUGUAAUUUUUCCGGUCGAUUCACUAGCGAACUAGGUAGCAAUAUAAGUGCAGAUACAAAAAUUUGACGUCCGGAAGUAACUAGGAGAAACUGGACCGGGAAGAUAGAGCCGCCAUCACAUACAAGUCUUUUGUUACCCACCUUGCCCCGGGUUUCCCAGGUGUGGCCUGAAAUCAGGGUGUUAGGCCUCCGAAGACGUUGGGCCCGUUUCGGCCCAAUGGUUGUCGCUGGCUGGUCGGGUACUUGGGCUGUAACACUCUCUUUUCCUUGAAACUCAGCUUGUCCCCAACCAGGCGCGCAUGGAAAGUAAUGUUGCAGUUCCGGAUGAUCCUUCCAUGUAGCGAGUUCAUGCGGCUGACCAGUACACCAAACCAAGACUUGAGGCAAGGGUUGGCCACCACGCUGGAUGUGCAGGACUCCGGGAUAUCUUCAGGUACCGGGGUCGAUGCUGUUGUUGCUCGCAGUUGCAUGUGAACUUGCUCCGUUGGCGAAAUAGGUUGUCAGAGCUGCGAAACGUGGAACACCGGGUGGACGGUGCCGCCCUCCGACAUCUGGAGCUUGUACACGACGGCCCCACCCGACGCAACACCUUUUAGGGGCUGAAGUAGCGGAAGGCGAGCUUCUGGUUGCUCCUCGUGUCCGCCGAGUGUUGUACAUACGACUGCAGCUUGUGGAAGACUCUUGAUAACCCACAAGUAUAGGGGAUCGUAAUAGUUUUCGAGGGUAGAGUAUUCAACCCAAAAUUAUUGAUUCGACUCAAGGGGAGCCAAAGAAUAUUCUCGAGUAUUAGCAGCUGAGUUGUCAAUUCAACCACACCUGAAAGACUUAAUAUUUGCAGCAAAGUAUUUAAUAGCAAAAUAGUAUGGAAGUGACGGUAACGGUGACAAACGUGACAGUAGUAGUUUUGCAGUGAUUGUAACAAUAGCAAUGGAAAAGCAACUUAGCAAAGAUCAAUAUGUGGAAAGCUCGUAGGCAAUGGAUGAGUGAUGGAUAAUUAUGUCGGAUGAUAUUCAUCAUGCAACAGUCAUAACAUAGGGUGAUACAGAACUAGCUUCAAUUCAUCAAUGUAAUGUAGGCAUGUAUUCCAUAUAUAGUCAUACAUGCUUAUGGAAAAGAACUUGCAUGACAUCUUUUGUCCUACCCUCCCAUGACAGCGGGGUCCUAAUGAAACUAAGGGAUAUUAAGGCCCCCUUUUAAUAGAGAACCAGACCAAAGCAUUAGCACUUAGUGAAUACAUGAACUCCUCAAACUACGGUAAUCAUCGAAAAGAAUCGCAGUUAUUGUCACCCUAGGGGAUGCGGACCAUAACUCAUAAUAGGUAUCUACAACUUGCAAGAUAGGAUCUAGAACACAUAUAUAUUCAUGAAAACAUAACAGGUUCAGAUCUGAAAUCAUGGCACUCGGGCCCUAGUGACAAGCAUUAAGCAUAGCAAAGUCAUAACAACAUCAAUCUCAGAACAUAGUGGAUACUAGGGAUCAAACCCUAACAAAAUUAACUCGAUUACAUGAUAGAUCUCAUCCAACCCAUCACUGUCCAGCAAGCCUAUGAUGGAAUUACUCACGAACGACGGAGAGCAUCACGAAAUUGGUGAUGGAUGGUUGGUGAUGACGACGGCGUCGAUUUCCCCUUUCCGGAGCCCAAAUCACACUCCAGAUCUGCCCUCCCGAGGAAGAACAUGAGGUGGCGGCGGCUCCGUAUCGUAAAAUGUAAUGAACUCUUCUCUUUGAUUUUUUCCCUCCCGAAUAGGAAUAUAUAGGAGUGGAAACGAGGUCGGAGGAGCCACAGGGGCCCCACAAGCCAGGGGACGUGCCCGGGGGGGGGGCUGCACGCUUGUGGCCAGGUGGUGGCCCCUCUCUGGUUGAUUCUUUCGCCAAUAUUUUUUUAUUUAAUUCCAAAAGUAUUCUCCGUAAAUUUUCAGGUCAAUCCAAGAACUUUUAUUUCUGCACAAAACUAUCACCAAGGCAAUUCUGGUGGAAACAACGUCAGUCCGGGUUAGUUUCAUUCAAAUCAUACAAAUUAGAGUCCAAAACAAGGGCAAAAGAGUUUGGAAAAUUAGAUACGUUGGAGACGUAUCAAGGACCCAAUCAUCCAUCGCGAAGACGUGAUCGGAGCGACAUUUGUCGGAAGAGUCUUUCAUCUGUUGGCGAGCUCAUAGCAGGUGUUGGCGAAUGAGAGCGAUCAUCUGGGCACGGUCCUGCUAUUGGAAAUAUGCCCUAGAGGCAAUAUUAUAUUUCCUUGUUCAUGAUAAUUGUCUAUUGUUCAUGCUAUAAUUGUAUUAACCAGAAACAGUAAUACAUGUGUGAAUAAAUAGACCACAACAUGUCCCUAGUGAGCCUCUAGUUGGCUAGCUCGUUGAUCAAUUGAUGGUCAUGGUUUCCUGGACAUGGACAUUGGAUGUCAUUGAUAACGAGAUCACAUCAUUAGGAGAAUGAUGUGAUGGACAAGACCCAAUCCUAAGCGUAGCACAAGAUCGUGUAGUUCGUCUGCUAAAGCUUUUCUAAUGUCAAUUAUCAUUUCCUUAGACCAUGAGAUUGUGCAACUCCAGGAUACCGUAGGAGUGCUUUGGGUGUAUAAAACGUCACAACGUAACUGGGUGAUUAUAAAGGUGCACUACAUGUAUCUCCAAAAGUGUAUUUUGGGUUGUACGAAUCGACUAGGAUUUGUCGCUCCGUGUGACGAAGAGGUAUCUCUCGGCCCACUCGGCAAUACAUCAUCCUAUUGAGCUCAAUGUGACUAAGGACUUAGUCACAAGACCAUGUGUUACGGAACGAGUAAAGAGACUUGCCGGUAACAUGAAUGAACGAGGUAUAGGGAUACCGAUGUUCGAAUCUUUGGCAAGUAUCAUACCGAUAUACAAAGGGAAUUGUAUACGGGAUUGAGUGAAUCCUUGACAUCGUGGUUCAUACGAUGAGAUCAUCGUGGUACAUGUGGGAGCCAACAUGGAUAUCAUGACCCCGAUGUUGGUUAUUGGCCGGAGAGAUGUCUCGGUCAUGUCUGCUUGUUUUCCGAACCCGUAGAGUCUACACACUUAAGGUUCGGUAACGCUAGAGUUGUUAUGGGAUCAUAUAUGUGGUUACCAAAGGUUUUUCGAAGUCCCGAAUGAGAUCCCGACGUCACGAGGAGUUCCGGAAUGGUCCGGAGGUAAAGAUUUAUAUAUGGGAAGUGGAGUUUGUUCACCGAAAAUGUUUCGAGGAUCAUCGAUAUUGUACCGGGAUCACCGAAAGGGUUCUGGGGGUCCACCGGGAAGGGCCACCAUCCUCGAAGGGCCACGUGGGCCAAAAGUGGAAGGGAACCAGCCCCUAGAUGGGCUGGUGCGCCACCCACCAAGGCCCAAGGCGCACAAGGAGGCCAAAUCCUAGGCGUGGGGGGCUGCCUUGAGUGGCAAGCCAGCUCCUAGGGCGCCGCCCCUCCUCCAGCUAAGGGAUGCCCUGGUCGUCCUAUCUAACCCGAACCAAAGAAAGUCCCUUUCUAAUUUGUUGAUGUUGUGAAGAGAGCUCAGCGGUACGAUGAGAGGCGUGAUGGCAUACACCACCCGAGAGGCGAUGAUUGAUUUGACAAGGGUCGUCCGUCCAAUGGUGGUGAUAUUUUUCCCAUCCCAAGUGACAAGCUUGCUCGGCAGCCUUGUCUUCGAGCAUUGUCUUGAUCCGUAUGUAGAAUGGGGGGCCCAAAUAUUUCAUCGAGAAGGUGGCCCUAGACACCAAGACGCUAGUGAGAACAUGAUCCAAAUCAACAUUAGUGCACUGGAUGGGCACGACCGAGCUCUUGUGAAAGUUGAUGCAAAGACCCGUGACAUCACCAAAGCCCUUCAACAUGGUGGAGAGGUUAUCGAUGUCUCGCUUAAUGGGGGCCAUGAAAAUUGUUGUGUAAUCCACGUAUAAGGUAGUUCUCAUCAUGGUGCCCCAUCUCCGAGUCUCAAAAGCCCUUCCUAAAUGCCAAGUCAAGUAUUCGAUGAAGCCUAUCAAUUACGAGGACGAAGAGCAACAGAGAGAGUGGGUACCCUUAUUGAAAGCCAAGACCAUGCUUGAUGGGAGGCCCAGGCACACCAUUGAGCAUGAAACAUGAGGAUGAAAAGCAAGGUGCGCAUCAGAGAAAUCCAAUCACAGAAUUCACUAGAGAAACAAUUGGGUUGCAAAAGGUCGAGGAUGAAUUUCCAUUUGAAAAAUAAUGCACGCAUUCAAGGCAUGUCAAGAAGCAAAAAGGGAAGAAUGAUAUUCACACAAAUGGCCCAGCUCUAGUUGACUUAUUAUCUGAUUUAAACAUACUUAAUUACCAAAUUACAAGUAAUUACUCAUCAAUUAUGUAAUUUGCUCCCAGGUUACAAGUACUCAAUUUUCAUACUAAACAUGCUUAGUCACCACAUUACAAUUACUCAGUUGUUGGAUUACAAAAAGGGAUUGCUGGAUUUACAAGUACUUUGUUGUCAUAGUAAUUAACCAUGCAUUAUCAAUAGAUUAUAAAUAAGUUACCAAGAAAGUUAACAUGAUGGAUUGCCACAUUACACGAGUAAUGUGGCAACCCAACAUGUUCGCGUUUCAUCAAUUUGAAAAUAGCUUAGUUGCCAGAUUAAUGUACUUAUUUCUCAAAUAAAAAUUGAUUUUAGUUGAGAUACUUGUUUUUCUAGGACAUUUUGUUCCUGGGAUCAUAAUCACUUCUUGCUAAACUUUUUUUACAUGAAUGCAUGGUUUUUCAGUUUCAAAUACCCGUUUAGCACACUAGCGCACCUCUUCCAGGCCCCAUCGCAUGGUUGAUUAUACUAUUUGCAUCUAACACACUGCCACAUCUAUUAAUAUUGUAGCACCAAAAUUCAGUACAGUUCACACCACGUGACACAAUGUAGCAUCUGCGCCAGCAACACACCAUUUUUUCUUCUCAAAUAUCCACGAGUGUACGUAUCAUUUAUUAAUAUUGAAGAAACUCCAUGCAGAUGGAUUGUUUGGACUCACUUGAUCUUGAAUCACUUGAGACAUGCAAAUCAUACUGCAUGGGCAAGAUGACUGAAGGCCUCGUUUUCCAGUGUGAUGGAAUAAGAAAGUAACUUGUUGAAAGUAAUACAUUUCGAUGUGUGCAGUCCAAUGAGUGUUGAUGCACGCAGUGGAUAUCGUUAUGUUCUUACUUCACAGAUGAUUUGAGUAGAUCCUAGUAUAUUUACUUGAUGAAACACAAGUCUGAAUUAUUGAAAGGUUUAAGUAAUUUUAGAGUGAAGUUGAAGAUCGUGGUGACAAGACGAUAAAAAGGCUAUGAUAUGAUCAUAGAGGUGAAUAUGUGGGUUGCGAGUUUGGUACACAAUUAAGACAUUGUAGAAAUUGUUUCACAACUAAUGUGUAAUGCCCCAAGUGUAACAUUGACAUAUUGGGAACCUUGCCAUGUUUGGAUCCAUGAUGUCAUGUAUAUGGAGUUAUCAUUUCAUGUGGCUUAUUUCAUGCCUUCCCCUUUGCAUCAUGCCAUCCAUAGCAUUCAUGCCAUUCUUGUGUUGUUGUUGUGUUGAUCCAUAUGUGUGGUGUGAUGAGUGCAUGUGGUGUGUGUUGAGGUGGUGUAAAGCUUGGGUUUCAACUUUACUUAUUCUUCCAAAACUAGGUUUCAAAAACCCCUUUCUUCCUCAAUUUGUGUUCUUGUGGAAUUUACUUGGUUAAAUCCUGUUUUAAAAAUGUUGUUAAAUUUGUGUUUAAGAUUUGUGGCAGAUUGGGUAACUUCCUUUGAGUAAUGGGUUUUGGAUUAUUUUUCUAAUUAUUAAAACAGUAGGGUAAACCCUAUUUUCCAUUUGUAAUUUAUUUGCUUGAAAAUUCAGUUUUCCAUUUUAUUUUAUUAGGGCGUAAUUCCCUAAUGCCCAGAGCAUUUUUAUUUUGUUUUUCUUGUGCAUGUUUGGCUCUGUGCAUUUUUGUGUUGUGGUGUGGUUUUAAAUAAAGGAAAAACCCUUUUGAUUUAAUCUGUUAGGCCUAGGUGAGUCCAGGUGGGCUUCCUCCCUGCUCCACGUGGGCCUCCUCCUUUUUCCCAGCAGGCCCGCGCGUUUUUCCUUUCUUCCUCCUCCUGAUGCCGUUCUCCUCCCGUGCUGCUUUCCGUCAGUCUUCAAAGAGAGAGAGAGGUCGUGACGCCGUUGUCGUCCCAUCCACGGCCUUUAUAAGCAUCGACGUGCGUGCCCCGAUAGGGUUUUCCUAUUCCCCAUCGUCGCUGCCGCCAUCUUCCUCCUCCAUCUCUCUCCCUCCCCAAGGUAAGCCUCUGUAGAGAUUCAGAGAGAGUAGCGCAGCACAACAGGAAGAGCACCGCCGUCUCCUUCACGCUUCCCUCGUCUCCGGCACCGGCGAGGAUGUCUGGGAACACGCGGGGUCUCCCCGCGUUCCAUUACCGUCGUCGGUGAGGCCGGAGCACGUCUUCAACGACGCCCACGACCUCGUCUCCGACGAGCACCAGGCGAACCCGAAGCCCUGCAGCAACCUUUUUCUUCUCCCUCUUCCGUGAGAUCUGCUCCAUCGAGGGUCUCCAGGGUGAACGAUCCCCUUCCCCUCUUCUUCUCCCGCGUGUGCCUGUCGUCGUCCUCCCGUAGAUCGGACCGACUCACCGGAGAACACCCUGUGGCGGCAGCGCGUGUGUGUGCGGUAGGGCAUGGGAACUGCUCAAAGGGGCAACCUUCCCCUCUCUGGUAGACUCCGAUGCAGUAGCGUAGUGGUUGGAUGUUCCUUGUGUGAUGGGCAUGUCUCGGGUUCGAGCCCCAGUGCCCCUUCCUUUUUGUUUUUCCUGCGUUUUUACUCGUUAGUGGCAGUGCAGAGCAGAGUAGGUUCACCUGGUGGACCUCCCCUGUUAUGCUUGAAUCCGAAGCGUAGCAGAGUGGCAACAGGCUGGUUUUGGAGCCAGGAGGUCUUGGGCUAGAUCCCAAGCACCCCCCUUUUUAUUUUUAUUUUUUCCUUUUGCUGUUUUCAAGUAUGCUUGCGAUGUUCUUCUUGGGCAGCAAGUUAGUGGUUGUUAUCCUUUUUGUUAGAGGCUUAGAUAUAUUUUUCCUGCCUAGCAUCAAGUAUGGUGUGUGUGCCUGUAGUAUGUUGUGUAUGUGUGUGUGUAGUGUGGUGCAUGUGUGUGUGUGUUGACACACACACAUGAACAAGGUGUCAUGCUUGCUUUAGUAUCAAUGGGGUGUCCUCUUGAACACCAGAUGUGUGUGUGUGUAGAUGAGCUUGUGAGUAGUUGAUCUAGUGGAGUAGUGCAUGUGCUNUAGUGUAAGUGAGUGUAAGUGUAGUAAUGUUUGUGUGUGUAUAGGGGUGUAAAUGUGCACUUGUGUGUGUGCAAGUGCUUGUCAUGGUGUGUGUGCAUGUGGAUACACUUGUGCAAGAGGGCCAGCCCCUCAUUUGCACCUAGUCAUGUAUGUGUGUGUGAGUAUAUGUGCUUAUGAGUGUGAGAGCACAUAUAGUUAGGUGUAGGUGCUCCCCCCCCCCCCCCCGUGUGGUGGUGUGCUUAGGCACAAGUGCAUGAGGGCUACCCCUCAUGUUCACCAUUGGUGUUGUGAGUGUGAGCAUGUGCAAGUGUAGAUGAGGGUAGUGCACAUCACAUGUGAUAAUGCACUAUUGGAGCUCAUGUGAUUCUAGGUUGAUUUUCUUUUUUAACUUUGUGCCCACAUGCUAUAUGCAAGCACCCAAGUAUUAUAUAUGUUUUUGGGGUAGAAACUUCCCAGGAAUCCAUUGGUGGAAUCAGAUUUCACUUUGGAGCACUUCCUGGAAAUGCAUAUUUUUGUCUUGAUGCCAUGUUUAGGUCCUCAUAUUAAGUGGUGUGUUGAGCCUAUGAGGAUGAUUCCUUGAUGUGGCAGUAGUGGGUGAACCCCUCUACAGCAUGGUAGUUUUGUUUUGCUCAUAGGAGUAUGUAUGCAUCUAAUGUGAGCUGUCAAAGUUGACACUUGGCUGAAGAUUACAGAUUUGUGAAAACCCUGUGAUUUUCACUAAGUCUGGGAAUCUGCUGAUAUUUUCUUCCCUUGUUGAUUUGGUUGCAAAAGCUCAUGUGUUCGGAAUCAGCCGAGGCAAUCAAGUAGAGAGUUGGAGAUUUUGUGUUUGUCUAGCUCUCUAUUAAAUCUCAUGCUUUUUCACUUCCUGUAGAUAUCAUUUUGGAGGUUGACAAAAUGCUUCAGAGCAUAAGCAGCUGGUGAAAAUCUGAGAUUUUCACAAAGUCCCAGAAAUCUGUUAUUUUUGUCCAAGUUAGUGCCUGUAGAUCUUCUCAUGUGCGACCCCUUUGUAUUAUCUUCUUGCUCAGGCUUGUAGAGAUUUGGAAUGGCUUUUGCCACAUAUCUUGUUUGCCUCAUUUGGGUGGCUGUAGGUACUUUGAAUGUUGUAGACAAAGUGCUAUGAUGCUGUUUAGGACAGAUUGCAUGUUUUAGUUGUUUUGAAGCUUGUGUGAGUAUUGUUGGUGGUGUGGUGAGUUUAUUUGCACCACCCCACCUAUAUGUGUUUGUUUGAUCAUGUGGCAACCUGGGAACACCAGAAGAGUGCCAUUGGAGUGUGCUUGUGGAUGAUUUGACCCGUAGGACUCCAUAUCUUGUCUUGUAGUUUCCGGUUGAUCCGUAGCUCCGUUCUCAACGUUCUUUAUAUGUUUUUGCAUCGUUUUCUCGUGAUGCACCUGUUCAUGCCAUCUUCAUGCAUGUCAAGAUAUCUUAGUGUGAAGUUCUGUCCAGAAGUUUAUCUUCUCUUCCCAUGCACAUGCAAGUGACUAGAAUAGUGAUGCAUGCUUCAUUCUCAUCUCAUGCAUCAUGUUGUAUGUUGCAUCAUGUUGUGUUGGUGUUCAUUGGCUGUUAUUUUUAUCUUGGGUAGCACCGGGAUCGGAGAGCGAGUACGUGGAUUCUGGAGAGUACGUGUAGGAUGAUCAAGAGCAGUUCCAAGCUGAAGACAUCACAGGCAAGAUGACCGUGACCUUGAUACUGUAUCUAGCUUUGUUAUGCUUAGAAUCACGUUUCCUUCGAUAUGCUCGCUGCCUACCACUUGAUAAAUGCCUCCUGGUAAUGCCAUGAAACCCAAACACCUUCCCCUCCUAGCUAAUGUUGUUUUGCUAAGUAGGCUUGCUCAGCUUCUAAUGAUAGCUUUGCUAGUUGCAGGUGCCAGCUGUCUCAUGUGAUAACAUGAGUAUUUGAUAUCAUUAUGAUUAAACUAUUAUUUAAUUAAUGCACCUAUAUACUUGGUAAAUGACGGAAGGCCUAGCCUUUUGCCGGGUGAUUUGUUCCGUUAUUGCCGCCUGAGUUUCGGCUACCGGUGUUUGAUUCCAUAACCGAUCGCUCCUAACACGUUCGGGGUUGUUAUGGGGACCCUCUUGAUAAAUCGUAUAGUGUUAAGGCUUGUCCGACAAGACCCUACAUUGGUUUUAAUUUGCUAAUCACCUAAUAAUAAUUUGCAUAGGGAAUAGCUACCCCGAGGAUUUAAUCAACAACCCGGGCCAGUGCUCCUCAUGAGUGUUGGUCCCACCUGAGCGAUGUCCGGCCCCCCUGGUCACCCAGUGGUUUAGACAUCCUGACGUCUAGCUCAUCUGUCGUGUCCUGAGACUGAGAUACACGACUCUUAUCGGGGUCGUUGACACGACGGGAGGUUCUGCUAGUAUUGUCUUACCUUAGUGAUAUAUCUUGCGUAUAGGAAUCCCGGUGAAACUUUGGGUCUCCUCAAAGGUGAGGUUUUCCUCUAAGGAAUCCGACGAGAUCACGAGAUUCGUGAUAGAGGAUUACUUUGCGGCCCGUGACCGUUUGUGAUGGACUAGUUGGAUCACCCCUGUAGGGUUUAAUCUUUUGGAAAGUCGUGCCCGCCGUUAUGUGGCAACAUGGAUAAUUUGUUAACAUCCGGUUCUAGAUAACUUGAACUAACUCUAAUAAAACUGCCAACCGUGUGCGUAACCGUGACUGUCUCUUUCGAAGACCUCUCUUCGAUCGGGCACACGAUGGGGUUAUGUUUGACGUAAGUACGUGUUCAGGAUCACUUAGUGAUCACCUAGUCUUCGACCGCUCGCGUAGACCACCAUAUCUUAACACUGAUCAUCGUAAGUUAGCCACCAUAAAUUCUUAGGAUGCUGCAACCUAAACACUGAACCUUCCUCACCUAAUAACUUGACUAGCUUCGGUACCAAGGUCAUCCGAUUGCUCAGUCCUUGUGGCUCACAGUUUACUACAACUCGCCAACAGGUACAGGUACGCCCGAUGCAGGUGAUCCAGAUGGCACGCAGCUGGCGUGGCAGUACGCUAAGGAGAACGACCGCCUAUACGUGAACUAUCUAGAAGACUGAGGCCGUGGUCGUGAUUGUGGGCGAGCAUGCGAGAUAUCAUAGUCUUUUCCUUGUUUCUGUAGCCCGUAGAAGGAUUAUUUUGUCUGAAUAAUUGUGUGGAUGUAACUCUGAUAUUAUACUAUGUGAGGAUGGCAAAUGAAUGCCCUAUUUGUCAAUCUUAAUUUAUGUAUGUGCUAUGAUUA